GACGAACGCUGGCGGCGUGCCUAAUACAUGCAAGUCGAACGCUUCUUUCCUCCCGAGUGCUUGCACUCAAUUGGAAAGAGGAGUGGCGGACGGGUGAGUAACACGUGGGUAACCUACCCAUCAGAGGGGGAUAACACUUGGAAACAGGUGCUAAUACCGCAUAACAGUUUAUGCCGCAUGGCAUAAGAGUGAAAGGCGCUUUCGGAUGUCGUUGAUGGAUGGACCCGCGGUGCAUUAGCUAGUUGGUAAGGUAACGGCUCACCAAGGCCACGAUGCAUAGCCGACCUGAGAGGGUGAUCGGCCACACUGGAACUGAGACACGGCCCAGACUCCUACGGGAGGCAGCAGUAGGGAAUCUUCGGCAAUGGACGAAAGUCUGACCGAGCAACGCCGCGUGAGUGAAGAAGGUUUUCGGAUCGUAAAACUCUGUUGUUAGAGAAGAACAAGGACGUUAGUAACUGAACGUCUCCUGACGGUAUCUAACCAGAAAGCCACGGCUAACUACGUG
rnacentral:rRNA from 1 species